rnacentral:rRNA from 1 species
AACGAACGCUGGCGGCAGGCUUAACACAUGCAAGUCGAACGCUCGACCUUCGGGUCGGGAGUGGCAGACGGGUGAGUAACGCGUGGGAACGUACCCUUCGGUUCGGAAUAACCCAGGGAAACUUGGGCUAAUACCGGAUACGUCCUGGCCUGGAGACAGGGUGGGAGAAAGGUUUACUGCCGAAGGAUCGGCCCGCGUCGGAUUAGCUAGUUGGUGGGGUAACGGCCCACCAAGGCGACGAUCCGUAGCUGGUCUGAGAGGAUGAUCAGCCACACUGGGACUGAGACACGGCCCAGACUCCUACGGGAGGCAGCAGUGGGGAAUAUUGGACAAUGGGCGAAAGCCUGAUCCAGCCAUGCCGCGUGAGUGAAGAAGGCCUUUAGGGUUGUAAAGCUCUUUCAGCGGGGACGAUAAUGACGGUACCCGCAGAAGAAGUCCCGGCUAACUUCGUGCCAGCCGCCGCGGU